rnacentral:rRNA from 1 species
GCGGAACACCGUACAGAACUUUCCUUUAAGCGGGGGAUAGCCCGGAGAAAUCCGGAUUAAUACCCCAUAGUAUAUUAAAAAGGCAUCUUUUUGAUAUUAAAGAUUUAUCACUUAGAGAUGGCUGUGCGGCUGAUUAGGUAGUUGGCGGGGUAAAGGCCCACCAAGCCAUCGAUCAGUAACUGGUGUGAGAGCACGACCAGUCACACGGGCACUGAGACACGGGCCCG